rnacentral:rRNA from 1 species
AUUGAACGCUGGCGGCAGGCCUAACACAUGCGAGUCGAACGGUAACAGGAAACAGCUUGCUGUUUCGCUGACGAGUGGCGGACGGGUGAGUAAUGUCUGGGAAACUGCCCGAUGGAGGGGGAUAACUACUGGAAACGGUAGCUAAUACCGCAUAACGUCGCAAGACCAAAGAGGGGGACCUUCGGGCCUCUUGCCAUCGGAUGUGCCCAGAUGGGAUUAGCUAGUAGGUGGGGUAACGGCUCACCUAGGCGACGAUCCCUAGCUGGUCUGAGAGGAUGACCAGCCACACUGGAACUGAGACACGGUCCAGACUCCUACGGGAGGCAGCAGUGGGGAAUAUUGCACAAUGGGCGCAAGCCUGAUGCAGCCAUGCCGCGUGUAUGAAGAAGGCCUUCGGGUUGUAAAGUACUUUCAGCGGGGAGGAAGGGAGUAAAGUUAAUACCUUUACUCAUUGACGUUACCCGCAGAAGAAGCACCGGCUAACUCCGUG